rnacentral:rRNA from 1 species
CAGUCGCCGCGGUAAAACGGAGGGAGCUAGCGUUAUUCGGAAUUACUGGGCGUAAAGCGCACGUAGGCGGCUUUGUAAGUUAGAGGUGAAAGCCUGGAGCUCAACUCCAGAAUUGCCUUUAAGACUGCAUCGCUUGAAUCCAGGAGAGGUGAGUGGAAUUCCGAGUGUAGAGGUGAAAUUCGUAGAUAUUCGGAAGAACACCAGUGGCGAAGGCGGCUCACUGGACUGGUAUUGACGCUGAGGUGCGAAAGCGUGGGGAGCAAACAGGAUUAGAUACCCCCGUAGUCCCUGUCUCUUAUAC